GGAUGUGUAACUCAGUUGGUAGAGUAACGGUCUCUUAAACCGAAGGUCGUGGGUUCGAGCCCCACUACAUCCA
rnacentral:tRNA from 1 species